rnacentral:lncRNA from 1 species
AAUUCAAAACAAAUCCAGCCAUGAACAAAGGGACUGCAGUGUUUACAUCUGGUUUCUGGAGAGAAGGAAUGUGCCAAAACAUAAAGAAUGAUUCUUUUCGGGGAAAGAUUUUCGUUAUUAAAGACAUAAUUACAAGUUUUACAUUUGAACUAAAUAGAUAUCAGCUAAGACCAAACAAUUGAUAUAUGCUUUAUUGUGAUUUACAAAUAUUUUAAUUAAAAAUAUAGAGCACG